rnacentral:rRNA from 1 species
CCUACGGGGUGCAGCAGUGAGGAAUAUUGGUCAAUGGGCGCGAGCCUGAACCAGCCAAGUCGCGUGAGGGAAGACGGCCCUACGGAUUGUAAACCUCUUUUGCCGGGGAGCAACGGGCGCUACGUGUGGCGCCACUGAGAUUCCCCGGAAAAAAAGCACCGGCUAACUCCGUGCCAGCAGCCCCGGUAAUACGGAGGAUGCGAGCGUUAUCGGGAUUUAUUGGGUUUAAAGGGUGCGUAGGCGCGGCGGUAAGCGAGGGGGAAAAUUCAGGGGAUCAACCCCUUCCCGCCAUUGAAACUGGCGCUCUUGAGUGGGAGAGAAGUAUGCGGAAUGCGUGGUGUAGCGGUGAAAUGCAUAGAUAUCACGCAGAACCCCGAUUGCGAAGGCAGCAUGCCGGCGUCCGACUGACGCUGAAGCACGAAAGCGUGGGGAUCGAACAGGAUUAGAUACCCUGGUAGUC